GUCAUACUCCCUCCGUCCGAAAAAGCUUGUCCCUCAAAUGAAUGUAUCUAGCACCAAAUUAGUGCUAGAUACAUCCAUUUGAGGGACAAGCUUGAGACAAGCUUUUUCAGAUAAAGGGAGUAUGUG
rfam:Triticum aestivum genome assembly, contig: Triticum_aestivum_CS42_TGACv1_scaffold_000735_1AL